rnacentral:rRNA from 1 species
GAUGAACGCUGGCGGCGUGCCUAAUACAUGCAAGUCGAGCGAACGGACGAGAAGCUUGCUUCUCUGAUGUUAGCGGCGGACGGGUGAGUAACACGUGGAUAACCUACCUAUAAGACUGGGAUAACUUCGGGAAACCGGAGCUAAUACCGGAUAAUAUUUUGAACCGCAUGGUUCAAAAGUGAAAGACGGUCUUGCUGUCACUUAUAGCUGGAUCCGCGCUGCAUUAGCUAGUUGGUAAGGUAACGGCUUACCAAGGCAACGAUGCAUAGCCGACCUGAGAGGGUGAUCGGCCACACUGGAACUGAGACACGGUCCAGACUCCUACGGGAGGAAGCAGUAGGGAAUCUUCCGCAAUGGGCGAAAGCCUGACGGAGCAACGCCGCGUGAGUGAUGAAGGUCUUCGGAUCGUAAAACUCUGUUAUUAGGGAAGAACAUAUGUGUAAGUAACUGUGCACAUCUUGACGGUACCUAAUCAGAAAGCAACGGCUAACUACGUG